UUUUUUUUUUUGUUUUUUUUUUAAAUUGGAAUGAAUUAUGGAUCUCUCAAAUAUGAAACUGAGGACGUAGGAAUCAUUCCGGCGAAAGAGACGUUUGUAUUCUGCAACUCCCUUAAAAUUAUCCAUAAAUUUUGAAAUUAUAAAGAAACUAAGGUUUCAACUCCAUUAGACAAAGUUGAUCUUCGUCUGCAUGAUUUGGCUAUUUAUUCGGUUCUAUUUGGUCUGAUAGCUCUUCAACUGUUUCUGUUUUUUGUGCAUGCUUCGUUCCAAAAAUCGAGAAUUUUGUCGGAACUCUUUCACGAAAUUUCAUUGUAACAUGAAUGGUAAAUUUUCCUUUGAUCUUCUGGUGAGUUAACUCGGUUAUUUUUAGCAGAGUGCGUUAACUGAAUGAUUUUUUAGUUAUUUCACUCUCCAAUCCCGCCGUAGAGAACUUCUCGUUUGAAAAGCAAAGAAUGGGAGGAGCUUAAACCAGUGCAUUAACUACCAUCUCAAAAGUUGUUAAUGCACGGUCUAGCUCCACCUCCUUGGGGUAGUAAUUAGGGAGCAACCAUUUGAACUUCAUGGGGGCUAUGUUUUUUUGUCUCAGUCGGAAAUUUGUUUUCGCAAAAAGCGCGAUCAAUCUUAUUUAGUUUUUCAACGCUUUCAA
rnacentral:lncRNA from 1 species